UACGUAGGGUGCAAGCGUUAAUCGGAAUUACUGGGCGUAAAGGGUGCGUAGGCGGGCAGGUAAGUCAGUGGUGAAAUCUCCGGGCUUAACCCGGAAACUGCCGUUGAUACUAUCUGUCUUGAAUAUCGUGGAGGUAAGCGGAAUAUGUCAUGUAGCGGUGAAAUGCUUAGAUAUGACAUAGAACACCCAUUGCGAAGGCAGCUUACUACACGAUCAUUGACGCUGAGGCACGAAAGCGUGGGGAGCAAACAGG
rnacentral:rRNA from 1 species